GAGUAAUGUCUGGGAAACUGCCUGAUGGAGGGGGAUAACUACUGGAAACGGUAGCUAAUACCGCAUAAUGUCGCAAGACCAAAGAGGGGGAUCUUCGGGCCUCUUGCCAUCGGAUGUGCCCAGAUGGGAUUAGCUUGUUGGUGGGGUAACGGCUCACCAAGGCGACGAUCCCUAGCUGGUCUGAGAGGAUGACCAGCCACACUGGAACUGAGACACGGUCCAGACUCCUACGG
rnacentral:rRNA from 1 species